rnacentral:lncRNA from 10 species
ACAGAACUUCCUGGAGAACUUCCCAUAAGAGUACCUGGAGACCGCCUGCCUCACUGCUCAAGACUGGGGCCCUCCAAGGCAGAGAGAAGACCAACUCUCCUGGCUUCCUUGACAUUCUCCUUACCUGACGUUCUGCAGCCUCUUGGGAGACUCUCGGAUGUACCCAUAGGAGGCUGUGGGAGACAGAGGGUCAUGUCCAGAAGGGAAAUGGCAGUGUAUGGCGUCACAGUAAGAGCUGGGGCAACUCCCCCGCUGUGUCUUUGAUGUCUUUGCAUCACCUUUCCAAGCCUCAGUUUUUCUCAUGUGUCAAAUGGGAGUGACAAUUUCCUGCCUCGCUUUACUCUGUGUGUGUGUGUGUGUGUGUGCGCGCGUGUGUGUGUGUGUAACUUAUGCCAAAGUGCUUUGAAAAACCGAG